rnacentral:rRNA from 1 species
UACGGAGGAUCCAAGCGUUAUCCGGAAUCAUUGGGUUUAAAGGGUCCGUAGGCGGUUUUAUAAGUCAGUGGUGAAAUCCGGUAGCUCAACUAUCGAACUGCCAUUGAUACUGUAAGACUUGAAUUAUUGUGAAGUAACUAGAAUAUGUAGUGUAGCGGUGAAAUGCUUAGAUAUUACAUGGAAUACCAAUUGCGAAGGCAGGUUACUAACAAUACAUUGACGCUGAUGGACGAAAGCGUGGGGAGCGAACAGG